rnacentral:rRNA from 1 species
UACGUAGGGGGCGAGCGUUGUCCGGAAUCAUUGGGCGUAAAGCGCGUGUAGGCGGCCCGGUAAGUCCGCUGUGAAAGCCCCGGGCUCAACCUGGGAAUGGCAUUUGGGACUGCAAGGCUUGAGUGCGGCAGAGGAGACUGGAAUUCCUGGUGUAGCAGUGAAAUGCGUAGAUAUCAGGAGGAAUACCGAUGGCGAAGGCAGGUCUCUGGGCUGACACUGACGCUCAUGCACGAAAGCGUGGGGAGCAACAGG